rnacentral:rRNA from 1 species
UACGUAGGGGGCAAGCGUUGUCCGGAAUUACUGGGCGUAAAGAGCUCGUAGGUGGUUUGUCGCGUUGUCCGUGAAAACUCACAACUCAAUUGUGGGCGUGCGGGCGAUACGGGCAGACUGGAGUACUGCAGGGGAGACUGGAAUUCCUGGUGUAGCGGUGGAAUGCGCAGAUAUCAGGAGGAACACCGUGGCGAAGGCGGGCGCCUGGGCCGAAUAUUGACGCUGAGGCGCGAAAGCCAGGGGAGCGAACGGG